rnacentral:rRNA from 1 species
GUUAAAAAGCUCGUAGUUGGAUUUCUGCGCGGGCGGGGCGUCCUCCACCUUUUGGGUGGCUAGGACAGCAACGCUUGCGCAUCCUGCCGCGAACCACGCUACCAUUAGUUUGGUGGCGUCUGGGGACCGGCUCGUUUACUUUGAGAAAAAUAGAGUGUUCAAAGCAGGCCUUAUGCCUUGAAUAAUGUAGCAUGGAAUAAUGAUAAAGGACUUUGGUUCUAUUUUGUUGGUGUUCGGGACCGAAGUAAUGAUUGAUAGGGACAGUUGGGGGCGUCAGUAUUCUGAAGCGAGAGGCGAAAUUCUUAGACCUUCGGAAGACUAACAGCUGCGAAAGCGUUCGCCAAGGAUGUUCCCUUUGAUCAAGAACGAAAGUUGGGGGAUCGAAGACGAUCAGAUACCGUCGUAGUCUCAACUAUAACCUAUACCAGCUAGGGAUCGGCCAACGUUGAUACUCAAGACUUGGUCGGCACCUUAUGAGAAAUCAAAGCAUCUGGGUUCCGGGGGGAGUAUGGUCGCAA